CCUGAAGAUAAUUGGGAAGUAAUCCAAUUAUCUCCAAGGACAGAGGCAAAACUCCAUUAAGCACAUGUUACCAAAAAGACAUAAAAAUAUACAAAUAUUACACAGAACAUAUACAUUCAACAUAUCCCCAGAUAGCUUAGAUCUGAGCGCACAUUAUUACCGAAUGGGGCUCAGAUCACUGUUCUCAGAUGCCUCGGGGAGUAUUCGGGGCGUUUUUUUGCCGGGCGUUGGUGCGUAGAGCCAUGGCCAGAGGAGUCGAGG